ensembl:lncRNA
UUAAAGUCUACCGGUCUAACUCUCUAUCCUGCCUUCUAUGCGCCAUUCAUAGUGGCAAUAGUGGAUCCUUUCUUGCUGAUGAAAGAUAAGGGCCAUGUGUUUCGAAAACCGUAGGAACCUUGAAAGGACUCCUUGCCCUAUCCUUGUAGCAGCACAACCAAGGGGGAGGAGAAUGGGCCUGCCAAUAAAACAAAAUAGCCUUCCAAGUGGAAAGUAGAGGUUUGGAAGAGAAGGAUGCCGGGUAAAUCCUACUUUGGCAGGGAAAAGAUAAUUGAGUUGACUAUGACUAUUCAUAUCUGCAUUGUUUGAUUAUUUAUUACAUACAUGAUUCUUACUAGAAAACUUUUAUUCCAUGCUGAAAUGUCUGAUUUGCAUACUAGUAACAUGAUUAAUAGUGAAAUUUCGAUAUGAAUGGUUUUACUGUUGUACCAUUUACCUGAUACUACUUGAUAUUUCAAUCUGAGUAAAAAAUUCAACAUCACACUUUGUGUAAAUAGUUUUAGGACGCAUUCACAAUCACAUUUACCUGAAAUUAUAUUGUGAAAUAAAUGUUAAUUCAUG